rnacentral:rRNA from 1 species
AGGAUGAACGCUGGCGGCGUGCCUAACACAUGCAAGUCGAACGUCCUGUCUCGCAAGAGGCAGGGAGUGGCGGACGGGUGAGUACCACGUGGGUCAUCUACCGUGAGGUGAGGAAUACCGGCGAGAAAUCGCCGACAAGACCGCAUAGGCUCGAUGCAAGUCGAGCAAAGCUCUUUCGAGAGAGGGAGCGCCACACGAGGAGCCUGCGCCCGAUUAGCUAGCUGGUGGAGUAACGGUUCACCAGGGCGACGAUCGGUAGCUGGUCUGAGAGGACGAUCAGCCACACUGGGAUUGAGAACGGCCCAGACUCCUACGGGGGCAGCAGUGAGGAAUUUUCGUCAAUGGGGGCAACCCUGAACGAGCAACGCCGCGUGCAGGAAGAAGGUUUUCGGAUCGUAAACUGCUUUUCGUCGGGGAAGAGAACGGACGGUACCCGAGGAAUCGAGCCCCGGCUAACUACGUGCCAGCAGCCGCGGU